rnacentral:rRNA from 1 species
GACGAACGCUGGCGGCGUGCUUAACACAUGCAAGUCGAACGAUGAAGCCUAGCUUGCUAGGUGGAUUAGUGGCGAACGGGUGAGUAAUACGUGAGUAACCUACCUUUAACUCUGGGAUAAGCCUGGGAAACUGGGUCUAAUACCGGAUACGACCAAUCUCCGCAUGGGGUGUUGGUGGAAAGCGUUAUGUAGUGGUUAUAGAUGGGCUCACGGCCUAUCAGCUUGUUGGUGAGGUAACGGCUCACCAAGGCGACGACGGGUAGCCGGCCUGAGAGGGUGACCGGCCACACUGGGACUGAGACACGGCCCAGACUCCUACGGGAGGCAGCAGUGGGGAAUAUUGCACAAUGGGCGCAAGCCUGAUGCAGCGACGCCGCGUGAGGGAUGACGGCCUUCGGGUUGUAAACCUCUGUUAGCAGGGAAGAAGAGAAAUUGACGGUACCUGCAGAGAAAGCGCCGGCUAACUACGUGCCAGCAACCGCGGGAAUACUUAGGGCGCGAGCGUUGUCCCGGAAUAUUGGGCGUAAAGAGCUUGUAAGCCGUUUGUCGCGUCUGCUGUGAAGGCCGGGGCUUAACCCCGUGUAUUGCAGUGGGUACGGGCAGACUAGAGUGCAGUAGGGGAGACUGGAAUUCCUGGUGUAGCGGUGGAAUGCGCAGAUAUCAGGAGGAACACCGAUGGCGAAGGCAGGUCUCUGGGCUGUAACUGACGCUGAGAAGCGAAAGCAUGGGGAGCGAACAGGAUUAGAUACCCUGGUAGUCCAUGCCGUAAACGUUGGGCACUAGGUGUGGGGGACAUUCCACGUUUUCCGCGCCGUAGCUAACGCAUUAAGUGCCCCGCCUGGGGAGUACGGCCGCAAGGCUAAAACUCAAAGAAAUUGACGGGGGCCCGCACAAGCGGCGGAGCAUGCGGAUUAAUUCGAUGCAACGCGAAGAACCUUACCAAGGCUUGACAUAUACUGGACCGCAUCAGAGAUGGUGUUUCCCUUCGGGGCUGGUAUACAGGUGGUGCAUGGUUGUCGUCAGCUCGUGUCGUGAGAUGUUGGGUUAAGUCCCGCAACGAGCGCAACCCUCGUUCUAUGUUGCCAGCACGUUAUGGUGGGGACUCAUAGGAGACUGCCGGGGUCAACUCGGAGGAAGGUGGGGAUGACGUCAAAUCAUCAUGCCCCUUAUGUCUUGGGCUUCACGCAUGCUACAAUGGCCGGUACAGAGGGUUGCGAUACUGUGAGGUGGAGCUAAUCCCUAAAAGCCGGUCUCAGUUCGGAUUGGGGUCUGCAACUCGACCCCAUGAAGUCGGAGUUGCUAGUAAUCGCAGAUCAGCAACGCUGCGGUGAAUACGUUCCCGGGCCU